rnacentral:misc_RNA from 1 species
GCUAGCAGCUGGAUUUAUUUAAAAUUAGUUGUUAUUUUGUUCAUCAAGACCUGGGAAGUUCAUUUCAUCAACUGUAUGGGCACUAUUGUACCCUGUAUUUUGCGCACUUGACUACAGUUCUUUCUACCGUGACUCAUAAACCAUUUCGAUUAUACUCUAACUUAGCCGAGUUACUAAUUUCUCUUUCCUUUUUUCCCAUUCACUUUGAGGACAAGUUAUGUCAAUCCUUCUGCUUCUUCUUAAACUAUCCACAAGUUUCAUCAACUUCUUUUACAUACCAACUAUUUAGGUGAACUUUAUUAAAAUGCAAGAAUUCUUGCGUAUUUGGCGCCAUAUUCAGACGCUGAUGCGGUGGAACUAACUUCUCUGCACACUGGUUCAUGAUCUGGAAGUAUUUGCCCAUACACCGUUUUAACGUCAUUUCCAAUCUAAGAGCCCGAAAUUAAUAGCCUUGUUAUUAUUCUCUCUAACAUUUGGCUCGAGAGCCUGAUCUCCGUACUCGGCGUCUUGUUGAUCUCUACCACCAACAACAAAGCUGCAACAAAGCUGCCUUACUCAUAGCGACAAUGAACAAUCUUAGGGUUUUCUUCUUCGCUCUCCUCCUGCUCGCUUCUCCUCUCCUUGAAGUGACUAGGUGUCAGUCAGAUUCUGAAGAGGAAGUCACAGAGGCUGCUGAAGAAGUCAGUGACCUUGGGAUUGUUGGCGAGGAUGCCCAAUAUUUUGGUGAUGGGAGUUUUAGCCCUGCUCCUGGAGUUGAUACAGUCUGUGUUUUCCCCAAAAACAGUGCACGGUUGGUGCCAGCUGGUGAAGAUGCUGAACUACUUGUUGGACUCAAGAAUGACGGGGAGUCAAGCAUAAAUGUCAUUGCUAUUAAGGCUAGUGUUCAUCUUCCUUUUGAUCAUCGUCUGCUGGUUCAAAAUCUCACUGCUCAGGCCUUCAGCAAUGCAACUGUUCCUGCCUCAACACAGGCAUCUUUCCCGUACAUCUUUGCUGUCAGCAAGUACUUGCAGCCUGGAAGCUUUGAUAUCGUGGGCACCAUAUACUAUGAGAUUGAUCAGCAUCCAUACCAGAGCACCUUCUACAAUGGUACCAUUGAAGUUGUCGAGUCUGGUGGCUUCCUCAGCAUUGAGUCAGUUUUUCUGGUUACGCUUGGAAUUGCACUUCUUGUGCUUCUUGGUCUUUGGAUUCAUGGUCAAAUACAGAACCUUUCUAAGAAAACAAAGAGGGCUCCAAAGGUGGAAGUUGGAACUGGUACUAGGGAUGCCUCAAUGGAUGAAUGGCUUCAGGGAACUGCAUACACUCAGUCAUUAUCCAGCAAAUCAAAGAAAAAGAAGUAGAUAUGUUGGUGGCCUACUUAGCUGCACAAAGGGCACUGCACAGACUUGUAACUCCCGCUUAGGCAAUUGGAGGUUCUAAGAGAGCUCAUAAGUUUGAUCUAGUUACUGAAAUUUAGUCCAGGGAAUGUUUGGCUGUUGUAGCAUGUGAAUGAAAAUUUUCUUACAUUUUAAAUUUUUUUUAAACGAGAAUUUUGGAAGUUGAGCCUUGUUGAGGAUGACUAACUCCCAUUUGAGGUAGGAAGGAGGAUAUGAUUUUCUUGAACCCAGAUUAAUUUUUUAUUUCACAUGCUGGCUUUUCUAUUUUAUUUUUUUGUUAUGUUUUCCAUGGUUUGCUACAACGUAGGAACAGGAUCAAUUGAGCGGUGCUGGGGUGCUGGCUAGGCCAACUAUAAUUUUGGUCCUAGGCCUAUGAAACUGAACAUUAAAUGGUUUUAUUUCUUUUUAUUUUUAUAAUGUCUUAUAUUUUGAGAGGGUCAAUUAAGAUGGUUUGGAUAGAAUCAAAUAUCUCAGUAUAGAUAAAUUAAUAGGGAAAGUAGUGAAGAAUCAAAU